GUUUGACCGUUCCUCUUAUUUAAAAGAGUUUUAAGAUUAGUACUUUUAUGGUUAUUAGAAGAUAAAGCAUGAAUAGUAUUUUAUGUGUGACUAUUUUUUAAUAAUUUUUUAAAAUAAGACAAACGGUCAAAC
rnacentral:pre_miRNA from 1 species